rnacentral:rRNA from 1 species
ACUCCUACGGGAGGCAGCAGUGGGGAAUAUUGCACAAUGGGCGCAAGCCUGAUGCAGCCAUGCCGCGUGUAUGAAGAAGGCCUUCGGGUUGUAAAGUACUUUCAGCAGUGAGGAAGGUGAUAUGUUAAUAGUACAUAUUCAUUUGACGUUUAGCUGCAGAAGAAGCACCGCGUAACUCCGUGCCAGCAGCCGCGGUAAUACGGAGGGUGCGAGCGUUAAUCGGAAUUACUGGGCGUAAAGCGCAUGCAGGUGGUUUGUUAAGUCAGAUGUGAAAGCCCGGGGCUCAACCUCGGAAUUGCAUUUGAAACUGGCAAACUAGAGUACUGUAGAGGGGGGUAGAAUUUCAGGUGUAGCGGUGAAAUGCGUAGAGAUCUGAAGGAAUACCGGUGGCGAAGGCGGCCCCCUGGACAGAUACUGACACUCAGAUGCG